UUCUGUCAGAAGGACUAGUGUCAUUGAGUUU
rnacentral:piRNA from 1 species